UUGAACGCUGGCGGCAUGCCUUACACAUGCAAGUCGAACGGCAGCACGGGAGCAAUCCUGGUGGCGAGUGGCGAACGGGUGAGUAAUACAUCGGAACGUACCUGGUAGUGGGGGAUAGCCCGGCGAAAGCCGGAUUAAUACCGCAUACGACCUGAGGGUGAAAGCGGGGGAUCGCAAGACCUCGCGCUACUGGAGCGGCCGAUGGCAGAUUAGGUAGUUGGUGGGGUAAAGGCCUACCAAGCCUACGAUCUGUAGCUGGUUUGAGAGGACGACCAGCCACACUGGGACUGAGACACGGCCCAGACUCCUACGGGAGGCAGCAGUGGGGAAUUUUGGACAAUGGACGAAAGUCUGAUCCAGCCAUGCCGCGUGCGGGAAGAAGGCCUUCGGGUUGUAAACCGCUUUUGUCAGGGAAGAAAUACUCUGGGCUAAUACCCUGGGGUGAUGACGGUACCUGAAGAAUAAGCACCGGCUAACUACGU
rnacentral:rRNA from 1 species